UAGGGAAUCUUCCACAAUGGACGAAAGUCUGAUGGAGCAACGCCGCGUGAGUGAAGAAGGGUUUCGGCUCGUAAAGCUCUGUUGGUAGUGAAGAAAGAUAGAGGUAGUAACUGGCCUUUAUUUGACGGUAAUUACUUAGAAAGUCACGGCUAACUACGUGCCAGCAGCCGCGGUAAUACGUAGGUGGCAAGCGUUGUCCGGAUUUAUUGGGCGUAAAGCGAGUGCAGGCGGUUCAAUAAGUCUGAUGUGAAAGCCUUCGGCUCAACCGGAGAAUUGCAUCAGAAACUGUUGAACUUGAGUGCAGAAGAGGAGAGUGGAACUCCAUGUGUAGCGGUGGAAUGCGUAGAUAUAUGGAAGAACACCAGUGGCGAAGGCGGCUCUCUGGUCUGCAACUGACGCU
rnacentral:rRNA from 1 species